GGCCGACAGAAGAUGGCGGAUGAGCAGCGUGCAGGGUUUUCUCCCUGUGGCUCACUCUCUCUUACUGUGCUGGGCGGUUGCUUCCUCUCCUGCUGCCCUUGGGAGUCAGACUCCAGGUUCUUCAGCCUGUGGCCCCUGGGGCUCUCGGGCCUUGGAGGACUGACUAGGAGCACACGGUGGGCCUCUCUGGUUUGGGGGCCUGGGACGUGGCGGAGCCCUGCAGCUUCUGUGCGGCCUGUUCUGGGCGUCGCGUUGAAACGCCAGCCAGUUCCCCAAUCCCCCUGGGAUUACAGGAGUGUUGAAGAAAUGUUGUGACACAUCAGAACACCGCGAAAUACAUGGACACUUUCAAAUCAUGGAAGACUCAAGCCCACCAGGUAUUUUUGAAAAAAGUACUCUGUGAAAAACAGAAACUGCAAGCAAGACAGAUACCAGGAUUAGGGAUCACGGUGACUUCUACCAUCGCUGGAUACUCCCAAAAGGGUUCUCGAGACAGCAGCUGUGUCUGCCCUGCUUUGGCAUUCUUUCCCAGGCAUGGCGACCAAGAAACUUUAAUUAGAAGGAAACAGGAAUAUUCAACGGACUCCCAAGACAAGAAUAUAGAUGUAUAUCAGAAGCUGAGCAUUGAAGUUGCUACUAGAGUCUCCCCGAGCCCUUAUUGGAUUCUCACUUCAGGAGCUGCUUUCAUUAUUUUGCCUCUCAGUUUCAAAAUAGACAAAGAACUCAACACUCAACAAUAAGAAAAUGAACAACUUGGUUGAAAAAUGGGCCAAAGACCUUAACAGACACCUCACCAAAGAUGAUAGACAGGUAGGAAAUAAACAUAUAAAAAGAUGCUGCACGUCAGAUGUCAUCAGAAAAGUGCAAUUAAAACAACAAUGAGACACCACUAUGCAUCUCCUAGAAUGACCAAAACCCAGAACACUGACACCAAAUACUCUUGAGGAUGUGGAGCAAUUCUCAUUGCUGAUGGGAAUGCAAAAUGGUACAGUCUUUUGGAAGACAGCUUGGAGGUUUCUUAUAAAGCUAAACUUGGAUUUACCAUACCAUCUACCAGCAGUGCUCCUUGGUAUUUACCCAGUGGAGCUGAAAAUGUAUGUCCCCACAGAAAAACAGGCACGUGGACGCUUACAGAAGUUUUACACAUAAUUUCCAAGACUUGGAAGCAACCAAGAUGUCCUUCAGUCGGUGAAUGGAAGAAUAAACUGUGGAACAAUCAGACCAUGGAAUAUUAUUCAGUGCUGAAUAGAAAUGAGCUAAGAAAGCCAUAAAAAAA
rnacentral:lncRNA from 1 species